rnacentral:rRNA from 1 species
UACGUAGGGCGCAAGCGUUGUCCGGAAUUAUUGGGCGUAAAGAGCUCGUAGGCGGUCUGUCGCGUCGGCUGUGAAAACCCAGGGCUCAACCCUGGGCCUGCAGUCGAUACGGGCAGACUAGAGUCCGGCAGGGGAGACUGGAAUUCCUGGUGUAGCGGUGAAAUGCGCAGAUAUCAGGAGGAACACCGGUGGCGAAGGCGGGUCUCUGGGCCGGAACUGACGCUGAGGAGCGAAAGCGUGGGGAGCGAACAGG